rnacentral:lncRNA from 1 species
CUUUGUAGCUGCUCUGUUAAUUUAUAUUUAUUCAUCUACCUUGUUUUUGUUUGUUCUUCUCCUAGCCACUGUUGAGGACCCAUGGGGAUUGUAAAACCUUGUGAGAAAACAUUGCUUUUCACUGGCAAAGAAAUUCAGAAAUGAAAGUGCAGAAGCUUCUGUACCUAAUGCCAUGUGGAAGGAAAAGAUGCUCUCACAGCUGGUGGAUUGUAUAGGAAGAAUCUCUGAGACUGGUGGAACUGUCGCUACUCAAAGCUGUGGGGUGAAGAGGGAAGGGGACUGGGGAAAAAGGUGCUUGAAAUUACUGAACUGCAGCACUUGCCAGCACUAAACUAGAGGCCUGUAAGGAAUGGGUGGCUGUAUUUCAGAGCUGGAGCCAGUACAGCUGCUUUCUACCUUUCAGAAGUGCAUGAAUUGUGGCUUAGCUUUUGGAGUUCAGACACAGAAUUACAGAAUAACAUUUGCAAGAGGAGAGUUUGGGGAUAUGACAAGAUGCUCUGCUAUUACAUUUGUAAGGAAAUCUUAAAGGACCAUAUCAUUUUCAAGUGCUUGUGAAGGCAGUCUGAUAGUAAGUGUCAAUUGUUUUACAUGGGCUUUAUGGUGUUCAGCAGACUACCUGGCUGCCUAUAAAGACAGUACUAAAUAUAUUGUGUAAAUUCACCAUCUUUCUCUCCUAAUCACAUUGUGAACAGAGGUUUGUUUUGAAUCCAUUUUAUGAGCAUGCAUGAGUUUUAUAUCAGUAUUAUGUUAAGAGCACUGAAUACCUGGUGUUUCAAUGGUAUUUCUGGGAUACUGUGGGCUUUGAAGAUAAGGAUGGAGACCAUGAAUCUAAACUGAUAGCUUUAGGCAAGCAAUAUACUGUUUCAAGAACAUGGAGUCAUGCUUCAGUGCUCUGGGCCAGAUGGCGAUUGCAGAGUCUGAAAGAUUUCCUUCCUGCUUAUUCUUCUGUAUUCCAAAGUAGAUGGUAUAAAUGUAUGAAAUACUAAGGGAUUGCUUGUCAAGAUAAACCAGUUUUUUCUAACCAGCUGAUAUUAGAAAAAAGUUAAGUUCAUGAAAUUCUAGUCAACAAGUCCACACUGAGAUUGUUUCACAGUAUUUUCUUGCCAGAGAGCACAUCAUAUUUUACUCCAGGUUUGGUUCAACUCUCCUCAUGAGUUGAAUAGGAUCAAAGUUUGAGUUACAGAGGUGUUGAUGAUUUGGUCAGAUACAGUGAUGGACAGCAGCACUGUAUACCUAACACUUAAAUGCAUGAUCUGCAGGUUUUCCCUUGUAGCUCCUUAUGAAUUCUGACUAAGGCUGAAAAGAUAGAAGGUUG